rnacentral:rRNA from 1 species
AGCGAACGCUGGCGGCAUGCCUAACACAUGCAAGUCGAACGAGACCUUCGGGUCUAGUGGCGCACGGGUGCGUAACGCGUGGGAACCUGCCCUUAGGUUCGGAAUAACUCCCCGAAAGGGGUGCUAAUACCGGAUAAUGUCUUCGGACCAAAGAUUUAUCGCCUUUGGAUGGGCCCGCGUUGGAUUAGCUAGUUGGUAGGGUAAAAGCCUACCAAGGCGACGAUCCAUAGCUGGUCUGAGAGGAUGAUCAGCCACACUGGGACUGAGACACGGCCCAGACUCCUACGGGAGGCAGCAGUGGGGAAUAUUGGACAAUGGGCGAAAGCCUGGUCCAGCAAUGCCGCGUGAGUGAUGAAGGCCUUAGGGUUGUAAAGCUCUUUUACCCGGGAUGAUAAUGACAGUACCGGGAGAAUAAGCUCCGGCUAACUCCGUG